rnacentral:tRNA from 1 species
CCUCCUUAAACGAUACAUCAUCCCUCGCGGUAAGCGCUCACAAUGAAUUACCUGAUCAGAUAGUAGAGCAAACGGUUGAUGCACGAUCCCCUCUUGGGUCUGUAGCUCAGUUGGUUAGAGCGCACCCCUGAUAANGGUGAGGUCGGCAGUUCAAGUCUGCCCAGACCCACCAAAUUCCUGUGAUGCGGUGUUAAAACACUCCUCGUAUAACAUGAUUAUGCAUUGAGGUGUUUUUCUCGUCUUACGGAAAUUUAUACNAGANGNUGGGUUUGCAAAAAAACAAUGGGGCCCUAACUCAACUGGGAAAACGCCUGCCUUGCACCCAAGAAGUCAACGGUUCAUUCCCCUUGGCUCCCCCAUUAUCUUCUUGUUUUUUAAAAAACCCGUUUGGGAUUGUUUCUGACCAUUGAUAA